UCACCAAGCCUAUAACCGGUACGGGCCAUGAGAGUGGGAGCCCGGAGAUGGGCACUGAGACAAGGGCCCAGGCCCUACGGGGCGCAGCAGUUGCGAAACCUCCACAAUGCACGAAAGUGCGAUGGGGCUAACCCGAGUGCCGUCCGCUGAGGAGGGCUUUUCUCCGCUGUAAGGAGGCGGAGGAAUAAGGAGAGGGCAAGACUGGUGUCAGCCGCCGCGGUAAUACCAGCUCUCCGAGUGGUAGGGACGAUUAUUGGGCCUAAAGCGUUCGUAGCCGGCUUGGCAAGUCUCUCGUUAAAUCCAGUGACCUAAUCGCUGGGCUGCGGGAGAUACUGUCAGGCUUGGGAGCGGAAGAGGUCGACGGUAUUCUCGGGGUAGGGGUGAAAUCCUGUAAUCCCGGGAGGACCACCAGUGGCGAAGGCUGUCGACUAGAACGCGUCCGACGGUGAGGGACGAAAGCUGGGGGAGCGAACCGGAUUAGAUACCCGGGUAGUCCCAGCUGUAAACUAUGCGGGCUAGGUGUCAGUGUGGCUACGAGCCACUCUGGUGCCGCAGGGAAGCUCAUAAGCCCGCCGCCUGGGAAGU
rnacentral:rRNA from 1 species